AGGACGAACGCUGGCGGCGUGCUUAACACAUGCAAGUCGAGCGAGAGCCAGUUGAGGGGUAACCCUCGGCUGGGGACAGCGGCGAACGGGUGCGUAACACGUGGGCAACCUGCCCCUGACACUGGGAUAACCCCGGGAAACCGGAGCUAAUACCGGAUACUCUCGGCCGAUCACAUGGCUGGCCGAGGAAAGGUCCGCCGGUCAGGGAUGGGCCCGCGGCCUAUCAGCUUGUUGGUGGGGUAACGGCCUACCAAGGCGACGACGGGUAGCUGGUCUGAGAGGACGACCAGCCACACUGGAACUGAGAUACGGUCCAGACUCCUACGGGAGGCAGCAGUGGGGAAUAUUGCACAAUGGGCGAAAGCCUGAUGCAGCGACGCCGCGUGAGGGAUGAAGGCCUUCGGGUCGUAAACCUCUUUCGGCAGGGACGAAGCGAUCAGUGACGGUACCUGCAGAAGAAGCCCGGCUAACUACGUGCCAGCAGCCGC
rnacentral:rRNA from 1 species